GACGAACGCUGGCGGCGUGCUUAACACAUGCAAGUCGAACGGAGAUUAUUAAUGAAGCUUGCGAUUUAAUAAUCUUAGUGGCGGACGGGUGAGUAACGCGUGGGCAACCUACCCAUAAGAGGGGGAUAACAGCUGGAAACGGCUGCUAAUACCGCAUAAACUUUUUAAGACCCAUGUUUUAAAAAGGAAAGGUGGCGCAAGCUAUCGCUUAUGGAUGGGGCCCGCGUCUGAUUAGCUAGUUGGUGGGGUAACGGCCUACCAAGGCAACGAUCAGUAGCCGGCCUGAGAGGGUGGACGGCCACACUGGGACUGAGACACGGCCCAGACUCCUACGGGAGGCAGCAGUGGGGGAAUAUUGCGCAAUGGGGGAAACCCUGACGCAGCGACGCCGCGUGAGCGAAGAAGGCCUUAGGGUUGUAAAGCUCUGUUCUAUGGGACGAAGUCCUUGACUGUGAAUAAUGGCCAAGGUUGACGGUACCAUAGGAGGAAGCCCCGGCUAACUACGUGCCAGCAGCCGCGGUAAAACG
rnacentral:rRNA from 1 species